UAGGGAAUCUUCCACAAUGGACGAAAGUCUGAUGGAGCAAUGCCGCGUGAGUGAAGAAGGUUUUCGGAUCGUAAAACUCUGUUGUGAGGGAAGAACAAGUACGAGAGUAACUGCUCGUGCCUUGACGGUACCUCAUUAGAAAGCCACGGCUAACUACGUGCCAGCAGCCGCGGUAAUACGUAGGUGGCAAGCGUUGUCCGGAAUUAUUGGGCGUAAAGCGCGCGCAGGCGGUCCCUUAAGUCUGAUGUGAAAUCCCACGGCUCAACCGUGGAAGGUCAUUGGAAACUGGGGGACUUGAGUACAGAAGAGGAAAGCGGAAUUCCAAGUGUAGCGGUGAAAUGCGUAGAGAUUUGGAGGAACACCAGUGGCGAAGGCGGCUUUCUGGUCUGUAACUGACGCUGAGGCGCGAAAGCGUGGGGAGCAAACAGG
rnacentral:rRNA from 1 species